CCCUUAGAUGUCCUGGGCCGCACGCGCGUUACACUGAUGCAUUCAACGAGCUUAUAACCUUGGCCGAGAGGCCUGGGCAAUCUUGUUAACGUGCAUCGUGAUAGGGAUAGAUUAUUGAAAUUAUUAAUCUUGAACGAGGAAUUCCUAGUAAACGCAGAUCAUCAAUCUGCAUUGAUUACGUCCCUGCCCUUUGUACACACCGCCCGUCGCACCUACCGAUUGGAUGGUCCGGUGAAGCCUCGGGAUUGUGGUUCUUGCCGCUUUAUUGUGGCGUGACCGCGAGAACUUGUCUAAACCUGAUCAUCUAGAGGAAGGUGAAGUCGGAACA
rnacentral:rRNA from 1 species